rnacentral:rRNA from 1 species
CUCCUACGGGAGGCAGCAGUGAGGAAUAUUGGGCAAUGCCCGCAAGGGUGACCCAGCAACGCCGCGUGGAGGAUGAAGGCCGUAAGGUUGUAAACUCCUGUUAGAGGAGAAGAAUAGUACCGAUUGGAUCGGUAUUUGACUGUACCCUCAGAGAAAGCCCCGGCUAACUACGUGCCAGCGCCGCGGUAA